ensembl:lncRNA
AAAAGCUCUGCAAUUUAACAUGGCCCAGGUGUGUAGUUGACACUGACCAAAUAUGAAGCUUGUACAAUGAAAUUCCAAUGAGGAGUUCGCAAAAGUUCGAGGCAUGGAAAUGGCAAAAUUAGAGCCAAAAUGUCACCUUCACUUCCAAAUGGCGGACUUCCUGUUGGGUUUGCGUCAAUGGUCCCACUGACUUUUUUGUUCGUCUUGGCAUGAUACACAUGUGUGCCAAAUUUCAUACAUGUAGCUAAAACGAUGUGUUCGUAGGGCUGCAUUUAACAAGGCAUAGGUGGCGCUACUGAGCCAUUUCCCAGUGCUCAUAUGUAAAACCAUUAAAAUACAAAAUUUUUCACCAGACCUGGCAUGUGUGCAAAAUUCCAAGAGUUUUCGAGCAUGUUAAAGCCCUCAAAAAGGCCCUUCUUUUGC